UUAUUGGGCGUAAAGCGAGCGCAGGCGGUUCUUUUAAGUCUAAUGUGAAAGCCUUCGGCUCAACCGAGGAAGUGCAUUGGAAACUGGGAGACUUGAGUGCAGAAGAGGACAGUGGAACUCCAUGUGUAGCGGUGAAAUGCGUAGAUAUAUGGAAGAACACCAGUGGCGAAGGCGGCUGUCUGGUCUGCAACUGACGCUGAGGCUCGAAAGCAUGGGUAGCGAACAGGAUUAGAUACCCUGGUAGUCCAUGCCGUAAACGAUGAUUACUAAGUGUUGGAGGGUUUCCGCCCUUCAGUGCUGCAGCUAACGCAUUAAGUAAUCCGCCUGGGGGAGUACGACCGCAAGGUUGAAACUCAAAAGAAUUGACGGGGGCCCGCACAAGCGGUGGAGCAUGUGGUUUAAUUCGAAAGCUACGCGAAGGAACCUUACCAGGUCUUGACAUCUUCUGACAGUCUAAGAGAUUAGAGGUUCCCUUCGGGGACAGAAUGACAGGUGGUGCAUGGUUGUCGUCAGCUCGUGUCGUGAGAUGUUGGGUUAAGUCCCGCAACGAGCGCAACCCUUAUUACUAGUUGCCAGCAUUAAGUUGGGCACUCUAGUGAGACUGCCGGUGACAAACCGGAGGAAGGUGGGGACGACGUCAAAUCAUCAUGCCCCUUAUGACCUGGGCUACACACGUGCUACAAUGGAUGGUACAACGAGUCGCGAGACCGCGAAGUUAAGCUAAUCUCUUAAAACCAUUCUCAGUUCGGACUGUAGGCUGCAACUCGCCUACACGAAGUCGGAAUCGCUAGUAAUCGCGGAUCAGCAUGCCGCGGUGAA
rnacentral:rRNA from 1 species